rnacentral:sRNA from 1 species
CUGCAUAUUGUCAAGGAUGUGUGUAGUAAGUUGCAUAAAGAAAUCAGUUUUCCUGUGCAGUUUAAGCAUGCAUUGCAAAAUAUUGAUUAUGACAAGCUUGCUGAUAGUUUAAUGUUUUUGAAUGAUUGCCUGGUUACCAAGAGCAGAUUUGUAUCUAGUUGUACUGAAAGAGCAUGGAGAAAUUAUUACCGAUCGUAUAUAAUAAACACGGGCCUUGUAAAGGAGGUUGUAAAAUGUCAGCAGCUAUCAGCGUGGAUAUCACUUAAAGUUUUUGAACAUCUAAUAAUAUUGGCUUAUGGGAACAAAAUAUAUAGUCUAUGAUUAUGACUCACUUUGUAGAACUCUUUUUCAUGUGAGUGUAGAGCCCUAUUUAGGAGAGACAUUCCCGUCCAUAUACAACACAGUCAAUUAUGGCAAUGGUGGUGAGGAGCCUGGCAUUUUUUAUUUGGCACGUUUUUCUUAUAAAGCUGAGGCCGAUGCUUUUUCGCUGUCCCUAG